rnacentral:tmRNA from 1 species
GGGGGUGUAUUGGUUUCGACUGGCGGGUUUCCAGGCCACCAGCUGCAGGUCAAGCGCCAACUUGUUAAACUAGCAAAAACCACAACUGCCAAGAAAGAAGACGAUUUCGUCCUCGACGAAGCAGAAUUCGCUCUCGCUGCUUAAUCGUAGCCAGAACGGACAAGGAAUGGGACGCCGCGCCCUUGGCCCCACUCCCUGUAAAUCCUUAGGGCUCAUCUAUGGCUGACGGAUGUAGGCUGUAGAGACACUUUUUCAUCCUGGGUUCCUUUAGGAUUGACCAGUUGCCGCCGGGAACCGAGAUUCAUCAGCCGGAUCUAAGCCUGUAGACGUUGAUGGAUGGUCCGAUAGGAGAU